AGUGCAAACACACUUCCUUUCUAUUGUUACUAAGACUUAUUAUAGAUUCAGUGCUGAUUGCCUUCCACAGUUUUGUUUAAAAAAUUUGAUAGUGUACAUUUCAAUUGAUAAUGGAAGACGUAUUUCAUUGAUUUAGCCUUUUAGUUAACUUUGAGACAAAUCCACAAUGGCACAGGCAGCUUUCAGACUAAAAGCGUUGGUUUCCCAUUUGUAUCGAUAGAUUUGUUUGACACAUUCUUUCCAAAUUGUUCACUAUAGUUUUUUGUUUGUAUUCUGUCACUUUACAGAACCACAGCAGAAGGUCUGACCAAUCACCCUUUCCUUAACAACAAUGAAAGUUCAGCCAAUGAGGAGGAAUCAUAGCUGUACAGGGAAACCCAUUUUUAAAUUAAUCUAGUAGCAGAGAUUCCACAAGCAUGAAUUCACUUAACAUUUGUGCUAUUUUAAGUGCUGCAUUUCACUGUUAACUCCUGCGUCCACUAAGCAAUCUCAGUGCAGUUUAACAGUUCCACUUAAUGUAAAUCAAGUAACUGACAUUUAUUUAUUUUAGUGCAAACACACUUCCUUUCUAUGUUACUAAGACUUAUUAUAGAUUCAGUGCUGAUUGCCUUCCACAGUUUUGUUUAAAAAAAAUUUGAUAGUGUACAUUUCAAUUGAUAAUGGAAGACGUAUUUCAUUGAUUUAGCCUUUUAGUUAACUUUGAGACAAAUCCACAAUGGCACAGGCAGCUUCAGACUAAAAGCGUUGGUUCCCAUUUGUAUCGAAAAAAUAGGCAGAAAGUCUGACCAAUCAGAAUGAGGUGGAGGUGCAGCGUCGCUGUGAGGAACGGAGCAGGAGAACGGACACAUAGCAAGAGAUUCUGGAGACCAAGAUCCAGCUUCUGCAGGAGGAGGCUCAACUGGCAAGAAGUGAAGCAGAAAAAAUGGCUUCUUUGGCAGAUUCAGAGUCCCAGCGCUGUUUGGCCCUUGAAAGGAGGAUGAUGAUGGAAAUGCAGGGGGGAAAUGAAAGCUUAUCUGUCAUGGCACAACAUGAAGAGAUGGCUAAGAAAGACAGGUUGAUAGAGGAACUGAAUGAAACUCUAUGCAGGAGAGAGCAAGAAGCAGCUGAUCUGAGUGCACAGAGGGAUGCCGUUACUGUAAAACUAAAUCAGCUGGAAGAGCAAGUGCAGAACCUCAACAUUUCCCUCCAGCAGAAAGAGAAAGAUGAACAGACCCUCAGAGAAGAACUGGCUCAAGGAAAAAGCAAUACAGAGCAGGAGAUGCAAGUAAGACUUAUUUUUUCUAUUUAUAUGUUCUCUCAAGUUAUUUUUUUUAAGUAUAUGCAUGUAAUCUACACGGAAUUACUAUUAUUGUUUAGGAUAUGUUCUUAAUAUAAUAUAUUUAUAUUUUUGGGGAAAUGGCUAUAAUUUAGCUUAAGAAGCAUCACCAGUGUGCUGAGAGCGACAUCUAGCGACAGUGUACAGUCAUAGCAAGCUGAGAGUGUACUGUACAUCAGCAAACACCCUGACAAUUAUUUUAAAAAUUAAAUAGUAUCUUCGUUGUAUUUUAAAGAACCUGUCAUUCAUCAUCCGACACUUAAUAUAAGCGUUCUUUCUAUUUUUAAUAUUUUCAUGUAUUAUACUUUCUGUGGUGCUCUUUUCAAAAAAAUAAAAAUUGUCAUGCCAUUGAAAAAUGGGAGUAAAGAGAUAUGUAGUAUUCACUUUCUUGUUUGAAUUGGGUUUAGGCUUAUAAAUAAACAAUCUAUUACAUCACACUGUACACAGAAAAGCAAUGAAAUCUCACAUUAAUUUUACUUUCUCUCAACCCCUUUCUAUCACUAUCACUGGUUGACAUAAACAAUGAGAUAAUGCUACAUUUGCCUGAUUAGGAGACAUUUGAAUGUAAAAUCCACAUAGAGACACAGAUAACUGUUAAGAGAUUGAUCCAUCUAUCCGCACAAGUAUUACUGUGUGGAUGUUGAUGGCAAAUCUGAUUGUUUAAAUCUUUGUAAAAAUUAACAAUUGACAUUUUAGUCAAUUUACAAGCAGGACCCAUUACAAUUGCACAUUUAUUAUAAUGUAUAUAAAGAAACAACCAUUCACACAAAUUCAGGAAUGUAACCACGAAUAUUUAGAUCCUGACCUGGAAUGCUUUUUACAUCUGGGCUCCCCCAGUCUUGAAUAUGGGUACAUCCCUAAAUAAAUUAUUAUUAUAGAUAGAUAGAUAGAUAGACUAUACCUAUACACCAAAACACACACAUCCACAUAUUUAUAAGCAUAUCUUCACAUUUUCUUCGAACCACACGUGCAGUUACUCUUUCGUAUAUUUAUGGGAACCUAUUCCAAGCAACAGAGCCAUGAUAAAACAGCCUUUUUCAUCAAAUUUGUUUGUGGACGUUGACCAUAUCAUUGGUCAGUACUCAAGAUGCUUUAAAAUUAAUGACUGCACCACAUCUUUUAAACAGCUAUAGGCCUACGUCUUUUCCAAUAAUGCAACAAUAGAUAGAUAGAUAGAUAGAUAGAUAGAUAGAUAGAUAGAUAGAUAGAUAGAUAGAUAGAUAGAUAGAUAGAUAGAUAGAUAGAUAUUAUGAAACCAGUACGUCGGAAAAACAAAAUCACUUUCUCAGUUGCAUUUUUUUUUGUCGAAAAUGAAAAUGAGUAUGUAAAGUAGUGUCAUCAUUUGCUUGGCUUGUUCUCUAAGUGCGACCGGUACCACUGCAUACACCGAGGGGUGCUCGAAGAAUUUACAAAAACACUGUUGACAAACAAUGGACGAUAAAACGUCAGUUUAUUAAGUGGUUUAAUUAUAAGUGCUUGUUAAGAAGAUAGCAACCGUUAAUACUUUUUAAAUAAGUAAGAUAAAUUGUAGAAACGCAUGCUUUCGACCCCCUUUUUGUUCAGGAAAUGGUACGCGCCAUUUUCCCCUGUCUCACUGUUGCCACAUCGUUUGCUGCUCCGCUGUCUGUAUGUCGGAAGCCGUAUUAUACACAAAAUACCGGCAACCUUUAGUGUUACCGUUCUGGGACAGAUUAUGAUAUUAUUUCCGUCUACAUUUCGGCUAAUGGUGGUUAUUUAAAAUUGACACGUUUUUAAACCGGAGUCGGGCGAUGGGGGAUGAUGUCCUGUGACUGUCAUGUCGGCGUCUUCACAGAAGAGCGAAUGAAACAUAAUCUGGAGCGCGAGAGUGAAAGACAAACCAUGCAUCUUUAUUUCUGUUGACGAGGACGAGCAUCUCGACAUCGAAAUCAAACCCGAGAUUUAUUUUUUAGCGAUAUAUCUAUUUAAAGAACGAUCUGAAGGGCACAAAUAAGGAAAUAAAAUAGUACUUUAAGACUUAGUGCAUUGACAGGAAUUCAUCUCAUCUAUGAUAAAAAGUGACAUGAAGUUGUUAUAAUAUCUAAUUAUAUUUUUAAAUAUAGAUACUGGAGAAGAAUAGAAAUUUAGGAACUUUUUAUGCAAUGAAAUUUUCACUUUGGCUCUUGCCACAAACUAUAGAUUAUAUAGAU
rnacentral:lncRNA from 1 species